AUCAGAAGUAGUAAUCUAAGAUUAGGAUAAAAUCAUGGCCACAGUUGUCUGCUGUUCGUAAACAUGAGACAAAAUGUUUAUACCAAUAUUUACCAGUUUUCUGUGAGUCCUGACUGAACAAUUUUUAAAAUAUUAAAGAGCAUGUCCUUACUGGCCUGUCGGAUCUAAUCCUAUUGUUUGUAUCCGCAGGGCUACCGAGGAGUCUCGGGCAACAAGGGAGAGAACGGAGAAGACGGCCUGGAAGGAAUCGACGGCGAGCAGGGAGAGACGGGACCAGAUGGAGCACGAGGAGAUAAAGGACACCCAGGAAACCCAGGUAUCCCGGGUAUCAGAGGGGAGACGGGGCCUAAAGGACAGCGAGGACUGAGAGGAGAUCCGGGCGACUCGGGCGCUGAUAACACCACUCCAGGAGCCAAAGGAGAACCCGGGAACCCAGGUUUACCGGGUCCACCUGGACCGGACGGACGGCCAGGUGAGGGUGGAAUCGAAGGAAACCCGGGUCCCAAUGGAAGAAGAGGCCCGCCGGGUGAGAAGGGUCUACCUGGACAGGCGGGAGCAAUAGGACUUCGGGGCCCCCCGGGUGCUUCUGGUCCACAGGGAAGCAGAGGGGAAAACGGUGAUCGUGGACCAAAAGGAAACCCUGGCUUUCCUGGACCUCAGGUCGGUACAU